rnacentral:rRNA from 1 species
UAGGUGUAGGCGUAGCGAAAGCGAGUCUUAAUAGGGCGCAUGAGUUCGUGGGAUCAGACCCGAAACCGAGUGAUCUAGGCAUGGCCAGGUUGAAGGUUGGGUAACACCAACUGGAGGACCGAACCCACAUCCGUUGAAAAGGAUCGGGAUGAGCUGUGCCUAGGGGUGAAAGGCCAAUCAAACUCGGAGAUAGCUGGUUCUCUGCGAAAUCUAUUUAGGUAGAGCGUCGUACGAAUACCCCGGGGGGUAGAGCACUGGAUGGGUAAUGGGGCCCC